CGGCGACGGGUGAGUAACACGUGGGUAACCUACCUAUAAGACUGGGACAACUUCGGGAAACCGGAGCUAAUACCGGAUAAGAUAUCGAACCGCAUGGUUCGAUAGUGAAAGAUGGUUUUGCUAUCACUUUAUAGAUGGACCCGCGCCGUAUUAGCUAGUUGGUGAGGUAACGGCUCACCAAGGCAACGAUACGUAGCCGACCUGAGAGGGUGAUCGGCCACACUGGAACUGAGACACGGUCCAGACUCCUACGGGAGGCAGCAGC
rnacentral:rRNA from 1 species